UACGGAGGGGGCUAGCGUUGUUCGGAAUUACUGGGCGUAAAGCGCACGUAGGCGGUUUUGUAAGUUAGAGGUGAAAGCCUGGGGCUCAACUCCAGAAUAGCCUUUAAGACUGCAUCACUUGAACGCAGGAGAGGUGAGUGGAAUUCCGAGUGUAGAGGUGAAAUUCGUAGAUAUUCGGAAGAACACCAGUGGCGAAGGCGGCUCACUGGACCGUUGUUGACGCUGAGGUGCGAAAGCGUGGGGAGCAAACAGG
rnacentral:rRNA from 1 species